GGGGGGAGCAGGAGGAUUUGGUUUGGCUGAGAGCAGGGGAAUGCUGCGUGCGUGCGGGUAUUUGAGCGGUGUCCCGCCGCCUUCUCCAGGGACGGUCACUUUGGCCACCUGCGGUGUGCAGCCACAGGUGCUACCCAGGGCUAGCAGCAGCCUGUGGAUUUAGAAUGAUGAUCAUUAAGGAAAUGCUAAUUAUGCUGACGGUGGCCUCUGUUCCUGGGCUUCAGCGGAUUCCCGCAGCGCUGCCCUGCUCCCGCGCGGGGCCGCGUCUCCCUCCCGGCCUCCGCGGGGCUGAGCCCACGCAGCGCUUUCUCUGCGAGCCCCGUUCGGGCCCUUCAAGGAAGAGGGAGCCUCUUGUACCCUGACCCUACAGGCAGGGCUUCUCGGCACGAGCAGGACGCUUGGCUUGCCGCCGCCAGCUCCUCUCCGAGCCCUCAGCUCGCUCCUCUCCUUCCCCGGCUUCUGCGCUCGCCUAGCGGCUCCCGCUCGCAGCGGGGCUGGUUGGGGGCUCCGUCCUGCGGGGUCCCGGGCGAUGCUGCGGGGAGACAGCGGGCGGCCGGGGCUGGGCCCAGCGGUGUCUCCCCCACCCCCCCGCCUUAUGGGGCCGGGCCCGUCCCCUCCCACCGCGGCCCCGCGCGUGGAGCCAAGUUCAAACCGCGAGCCCCAGCGCGGCGGCGGAGCGGGACGCAGCGGGGGGCCGGGCUGGGGGCCCCCAGUGCCUGCGCGGCUCCAUGAUUCUCCCCAGGGCCCUUUCCUGCGCUGUGCUGCUGCUCCUGCUCGUCGCCGUGCUGGGCCGGGGCAAGAGGUGCAGCAUCGCCAAAAUCCUGCGGCAGUACCGCGCCGUCAUCUUCCACGAGAUCCAGAACCUGAAAAACCUGAGCGGCUCAGCGGAGAGGAGCAGCCGGGCAGGGCUGGCUUGCCGUUCGGACAAGGACCAGAAGAUCCUGCUGGCCAUCUACAACAUCAGCAUGUCCCUGCGGGACGUGGCGGGCGGCACCCUGCGUGGCCCCGAGGAGGUGGCGGUGUGGAAGGUGGCCAGGAACACCGAGUUCGUGCUCAGGGAGAACUGCAGGAAAAUCGGCAAGAGCCCACCCCGUGCCCCGGCACAGCCCCGCCGCAGGAGGAAGCAGCUGAAGGAGAUCGCGAGGAAGGCGCAGCGGCUGGCGACGUGCUGGGAGAAGCUCUACGCCCUGCACGUGCCCCAGCGGGGCUCCUAGGCUGCCUCGGGGACCUCCCCUCACCUCGUCCCCGCGGCCAGCGGGACCGCAGAGGCGCGCGCUCUGGUUUCGCGGCUGACGGCGCCUUGUUUCGGGACCUGGGGGAAAUUCAACCCCGAAGCCGGCUGAGGGGGUACCAGGGGGUGCCCGAAUUUAAUUCGUCCUCUUGUUCCAAGCGGUGCCCCAGGGACUGGCCCCGCUGCACGGGGUGGGUGCUGUAGGGUGGCUGCAGCAGCCAGCUGGGCAACCCCAGGCUGGGGGGAAGAAGAAGGGGAAGCACAGAAAAAAAGAGGAGAGAGAAACGUGGAUUUCUGUGAUGCUCCUGACCCUGCAUCACCUGCUGCUUUUUUGGGGGACAAUGGUUGCUUUUCUGGACCCAAAGAGGACAAACCGGGCCACGGGGCUGAGGCUUCUGCUGGCACUGGACUUCUACGCACCCGCAGGUGGCUGAGGGUGCCCAGGGUGCCUGCAGGGUGCCAGCGUGAGCCGCUGCCCUGGCACGAUGCAGACAAACACUGAACCCCCCCCCCCCCGGCAUGGUCAGAGCCUCGGUGCAGCUCUGGCUGCUUGGAGCCAGAGGUUUGGCCUCCGAGCUGAGCCCCAGGGCUGGGGGGAACCCAGCACCACCGGCGUUGAGCCCAGCCCCAAGGGCCCCGCUUCCAAACCGUGGGAAGCCAGAAAUAAAUCUUCUCCUUCCCUCGCA
rnacentral:lncRNA from 1 species